GGCUGUAGCUCAGUGUCAGAGUACCUGCUUGGCAUGCAGAAGGCCUCAGGUUCCAUCCCUAGGUAGGGCUG